rnacentral:rRNA from 1 species
GACGAACGCUGGCGGCGUGCUUAACACAUGCAAGUCGAACGGAAAGACCCUGCUUUUGUGGGGUGCUCGAGUGGCGAACGGGUGAGUAACACGUGAGUAACCUGUCCUUGACUUUGGGAUAACUUCAGGAAACUGGGGCUCAUAUCGGAUAGAAUCUCUUGCUGCAUGGUGGGGGUUGGAAAGUUUCGGCGGUUGUGGAUGGUCUGGCGGGUUAUCAGCUUGAUGGUCGGGUAGUGGCUUACCAAGGGUUUGACGGGUAGCCGGCAUGAGAGGGGGAACGGGCACAAGGGGACUGCGAUAGGCACCAGACGGGUACGGGAGGCAGCAGGCGGAAGUAUUGCAGAACGGGCGGGCGCGUGUUGUAGAAGCGCCGGGUGCGUGAUGCCGGCCUACGGGUGGUAAACAGCUGUCGACUGUGACGAAGCGUGAGUGACGGUAAUGGGUAAAGAAGCACCGGCUAACUACGUG